UGUGCCACCAGACCUGAGUUAACCUGGAGAAGUCUGCAGUGAGGCACAUUGUUCUUCACCCAGGAAUGUUUGGAAGAAAAUCAAACACAAGCCCAGCCUUUCCAGUGUCUGUGAGCAUCUAGCUAAUUUCAGUCACAAAGGCACCUACCUGUCUCCGUUGUCCAGGUUCUGAAAAGCCUCAGCUCACGUUGUACCCACCGGCCUUCUUGGCCCUGAGAGCAGACGGUGUGAAUGACCUGCCUUGGUCCUCCCCCGCUGACAUGGGAACGUAGGCAGCUGUGAUCUCAGAACACACAGCACCGGCAGGCAUUUCACUGUAAGAGGAACCACCUCAGAAGAUAAAAACAACCUGUGAGUGAGCAACGCUUCUGGUCUACUGAGGACGUUUAAGAGGUUAGUCACAUUUUCUUCUUUUACUUAUACCAGUUAUGAUAAAACAUGAGAAUAUUACCUCGGUAAUCCACGCCAGAGUUUAAUUUCACCACAACUGGGCGCCCGAUGAUCUGCUUUAAGAAGUCACUAGGGGUUUGCUUCCGCAGACUCAUUUUUAACAAUCCUGAUCAGAAACAGGAAAGAGCAAUACAUACAGACUAAAGUUAAUUAUUCACCAAAAAGCAAAACAAAACUCUUGGGCCUUUAACAUAUCUAUAGGGAAUCAAGCAGCAAAGCUGUGCAAUGUUCUGCUAGACACCACAGCUGACCUGUGCUCACACCCAUCACCUCACACAGCCCUAGCCCAGGGCACAGCCUCAGAGCUGUUUACAGAGCAAUUAUUCCUAUCCACUUGUUCUAAUGUGUCACACACAUGACACCCUUAUAGCCACCAUCACCUCAGCCCAGUUAAUAAAUACUUUUCUAUGCUGACAACUCUAUUAACAUCUAUAAAUGCCACAUGUAAUCACCAGUAUAACUCUGGGAGAAGGUAUAACAUUCCCAUUUUACUGAUGAAAACAGAAUAGAAACAUUAGGGGUUGGGGAUUUGGCUCAGUGGUAGAGCGCUUGCCUAGCAAGCACAAGGUCCUGGGUUCGGUCCCCAGCUCCGGAAAAAAAAAAAAAAAAAAAAAAAAGACAGAA